AACGAACGCUGGCGGCAGGCUUAACACAUGCAAGUCGAACGGGUGUAGCAAUACAUCAGUGGCAGACGGGUGAGUAACACGUGGGAACCUUCCUAGAGGUACGGAACAACGCAGGGAAACUUGCGCUAAUACCGUAUACGCUCUUGCGAGGAAAGAUUUAUCGCCUUUAGACGGGCCCGCGUCGGAUUAGCUAGUUGGUAAGGUAACGGCUUACCAAGGCGACGAUCCGUAGCUGAUCUGAGAGGAUGAUCAGCCACACUGGGACUGAGACACGGCCCAGACUCCUACGGGAGGCAGCAGUGGGGAAUCUUGGACAAUGGGCGCAAGCCUGAUCCAGCCAUGCCGCGUGAGUGAAGAAGGCCUUCGGGUUGUAAAGCUCUUUGUCAGGGACGAUAAUGACGGUACCUGAAGAAUAAGCCCCGGCAAACUUCGUG
rnacentral:rRNA from 1 species